UACGGAGGGGGCGAGCGUUAUUCGGAAUUAUUGGGCGUAAAGGGCGCGUAGGCGGCUGUACAAGUCAAAGGUGAAAUCCCUCGGCUCAACUGAGGAACUGCCUUUGAAACUGUACGGCUUGAGGCCGGGAGGGGGUAGCGGAAUUCCCAGUGUAGCGGUGAAAUGCGUAGAUACUGGGAGGAACACCAGUGGCGAAGGUGGCUACCUGGACCGGUUCUGACGCUGAGGCGCGAAAGCGUGGGUAGCAAACAGG
rnacentral:rRNA from 1 species